GACGAACGCUGGCGGCGUGCCUAAUACAUGCAAGUCGAACGCACUCUCGUUAGAUUGAAGAAGCUUGCUUCUGAUUGAUAACAUUUGAGUGAGUGGCGGACGGGUGAGUAACACGUGGGUAACCUGCCCUAAAGUGGGGGAUAACAUUUGGAAACAGAUGCUAAUACCGCAUAAAACCUAGCACCGCAUGGUGCAAGGUUGAAAGAUGGUUUCGGCUAUCACUUUAGGAUGGACCCGCGGUGCAUUAGUUAGUUGGUGAGGUAAAGGCUCACCAAGACCGUGAUGCAUAGCCGACCUGAGAGGGUAAUCGGCCACACUGGGACUGAGACACGGCCCAGACUCCUACGGGAGGCAGCAGUAGGGAAUCUUCCACAAUGGACGAAAGUCUGAUGGAGCAACGCCGCGUGAGUGAAGAAGGUUUCGGAUACGUAAACUCUGUUGUUGGAGAAGAACG
rnacentral:rRNA from 1 species